GCAUUAGUGGGGUAGUGGUAACCUGGGUCGUUGCCAAAUAUCGAACUGAGUUCGACCCGCCGGGAGUUCGAUUCUCUCCUAAUGCA